rnacentral:lncRNA from 9 species
GUCUGCUCUCCUCACCCCAACCUGAGACAGCUCUGAGGGGUUGUCCCAGCUCCACGGUCCCCUGAGGGGUUGGCUCAGGUCUCCCUUGGGACAGCACAGUUGGCCAGGGCCUCUGUGCUUCCUUCCCCGCCCUGUAUAGGUGCUGAGCCCAAGGGUGCCCCUUAACAAACGUUCCACCUCAGAGCUGGCUACCCCAGCAACCUUGACAUUCACCCCAGGGAGAACAGGGUACGGCCAUAUGAACAUCACUUCACAAGGACAGACCGAUUCCCAGGGAAGCCUGGAUUUGCUUGCAGCCUGACACAACUUCUCCCUGAGGAGGAGGGCUGUUGAGUCACGGGGAGAGAGCACAAUGGGGUGACAGAACUCUCUCCUCCUCAAAGUCCCGUCCAAGGAAGCGGGAGCCUCAGCCACGGGAAUUCCGAUCCGAUUGAUUCCCAAGGACAUGUCUGUUGUGGAACUAGAUUCGUUGACAAACUGUCACCAGGAGAGGUCAUUAAACCGCAUCUAAGGAUGAAUAGGCUGAUCCCAUGGUCACCAACCUCCUUCUGGGUCCGGGCUAACUGCCCCAUGGGUCAGUCUAAGGCGAGACAGAGGUUGGAGAGUCAGGUCUUACUGAAGGGCUGGAGCAGUGGUGUCUGUGAUUGUCAGUUACCAGCAGCUGGGAGGACUCUGGCAAAUGUGCAGACGUGGUAAGUUUGUGGCACGCGACAUCGUUUUCCCUCUCCAACUCUCCCCAAUUGCAUUUUUAAAAGUAAUGCCGUUAAUUUUCAUGAGCAUUUUAAGCCCAAAUUAGAUCUUAUAUUGUAAACACUGCAGAAGCUGAGAAAGAUCUUGUUAACAAAAGCAAAUUACCAAACUCCCAGAAAUCUGAAUCAGACCCACUGAAUUCAGACUUCGACUAAGUACAUGCCCACGGAAUUCAUCUCGGUUCGUUUCUGCAGGAUUAAAGUAAAUGCAGGCGCUCUAAGCUGCCAGCAGAUCUGUGACCACGGCGUCUAAUUGCAGCGCCUUUAAACCUUGAGCAGGUCAAUGGAGGCACGAUGAUCUCAGGGAUAAUUUGUCUUUUAUGUAUUUCUCUGGUGUGAUAUAUAAUCCCUUGCUGAAAAGGGCCCUUGUGAGUGUCAGUCUCUGUUCCUAACUGUAAUAGAAUCAAGAACUGGUAAAUAGGUGGCUCUUUUUUAUUUUUAUUUUUAAUUUUUAAAGAAUUUGUGCUGUGGCCACUGGGUUGUGAAUAGGUGAUUCUUUAUAUGUUCCUCUUUGGUCCUGUAUAACGUGGCCAAGGGAAGGGCCCACAUCUGUUAAGGUGGCAGUGGGAGUGUUCCACCUGUAAAUGAUUCUGGAUUUGCUUUAUGCUGUAACCGGGCUCAACUGCAUGUGCAGACUCUCCUGAACUCUUGCUCCACUAUAAUGCCAUCUGGAAUAACCAGAGAGCUGUUUUCUUCCACUUUGCAUCUUAAGUCCUACUUUGCUCACUCCUGAGAGAGAUAAGCACUUCAGAUGGGGUAGAGGAAAGAGAUCUGAAGAAGUAAUCAUGCUGUCUUGAGAUGCAGGAGCCAGAGAGAGUGAAGAAUGGAUUUUCUCUGUGUCUGAACAUAGUAGA